rnacentral:tRNA from 2 species
AUUUAUGUAAUAUAAAUAUUAUAUUUGACUUCCAAUCAAAAAAUCUAGCAUAUAGUAUAAAUA